rnacentral:lncRNA from 1 species
AAAUUCAAUCUGAUUUAUGUUAGAGAAGGAAAAGUGAUGCUCACAUAUUUACCGGUGCGAUCAAGUUUCCAACUCUAGUCUUUAACUCAACUUUGUAUACAAAGCAAAUUAAAAUGUUAUUUUUUAUGUAAAAAUAAAUUUCAUUAAGUAGUUAAGCAAUUAAGCUAAAAGAGGUAGUACAAUGAGGAAAAUUCUCAAUCCAUGUCGAGUGUAUGAGAUCUAUAGCAAAAUGAAUUAAAUAAUAAACAAAAAUGUUCGAAGUCCAUUUAACAUAAUUUCAAAUAAAAAAAAAAUGAUUGUUAAUCUUUUGACAAUUAACUAUUCUCAAACCAAAAUGGAAUAAAACUUAGGUUUUUGUAUGCAUUCUUUGGACCACAUUAUGAGAUUCUCUUUCAAAUACGUAAAGUGAAGAUUUAGUUUCAAAUUCAAUUUUUUAUAAUAUCAUAUUCUAAAAAUGUCUCAAAACACCAAUUGACUACAACCACCAGUGAUCCAUUAAAGCAGAAACAAUUGCUUUACCACCUCAUUUAUGAUUCACAUGGCCAUCUUUAUGGACGUUAACUUAAUAAAAAAGACAAUAUAAGGGUAGACCAACGCGAUGUCGAAAUAAAGACUUUUACCUAGGAAUUUAAAUCAUGAGCGUUUAAUAUACUAUUGUGGUUCUCAAAGACACUAUAAAUUUUAUAGGUAAUGUUAGAUAUAAUUUUUUUUUUCUUUAAAGUUGUAUGCCUUUGUUUCUAGCAUAGCAAAUACCAUAACAUAAAGAUAAUACAAAACUUAUUUUGUCAUCUGUUUUGACUAGAAAAUUAGUAUUCUUCAAAACAAAUACUCAAAAGAGACUAGAACCAUGUCUCUUUUGACCAAAUUUAUCUUAAAAAAAGAGGUCAAUAUCUUCCUCAGUCAAACCACGUAUGGGACAAAAAUGCUCCAACAUCAUGCCUUCAUUGAUAGCUUUCUUUUUUGUUGGGAGGCUAUCUUUCAAAGCCUAGCAAACUAAGUGAAAAUGUUUGGGAAUUGUUUUUGGCUUUCAUAGUUUUGACCAAAUUUUUGAUUGCACUUAUUAGUGAGACUCCCCAUGUAGUUCAAUAUUGUGCAUUUGUCUAAUAGCAUAAUGCACACUUUUAGCCAAAAAAAAAAAUACACUUUUUAUGAGAGUCCAAAAACAUAAUGUUUGUUUGAUUUAAAUUAGAGAUAAAUAUCUGAAUGAUCUGAGAAGUUUUAAAAGAUAGAAUUGAAUUGAUUAACGGAAUAUUUCAAGUUUCAAUAUUAUGUAAAAUGAGUUAAAAUUCCAGUGAAAGAUAUGAGGUAUAAGGAUUAGAAUACCAAACCUUUUAACUAUUUUGAAGAGAUAACUAAUUAUUCUCUCGAAUAUUUAUAAGAUGUCCAGUUCUCAUUCGCCAUAUACAACCUUUGUAAGAAUCCAUAAAAGCCUCGUGAAUACUUCUACAGAUAUAACUAGACCACAAGUAAUGUAGUCGAGCCUUUAACACAUUGUUACUCUUAACAAAUUUUCACCUAAUAGAGUAUUUAAUUAGCUAACUAUUUUCAAUCAAAUUCAUCCACAAAUAAUAAUGUGUUUUUUUUUACUAAUUGCUUACAAUUAUCUUUUUUCCUAUAUAUUUUUAUGUAUACCAUGGAUCCUACUCUAUUAUUAAUAAGUGUAUAACAAUAUAUAAAAUACAUAAAUAAGUUAUAAAUUAUAAAAUUACACUAAAAAAUAUAAUAAAAUAUAUACAAAUAUUAGCGCUAAAAAAAUGAAUUGACGGUCACAUUAUUGCUUGUCUUCAUGCUAAUUUACAUAAAAUACAUAUAUAAAUAUUUUAUUUUAAAAAGUUGGGUUUAUGUCCGAAGAUGGGUGAGUAUCAACGCCCCUUUAUCGACAUAUAAUAGUGAAAAAUAUCAAAAUUCACGCCAAUGUGUGCAUAUUAUUUCUAGUUAAAUUUGAGUAGUAUGUUGAAAAUGAAUUUUCUAUCAUAGUAUUUGUUAAAAAAUUAAUGUGAAUCAUUAUCAUUUACAAAAAUUAUAAAUUGUAGUUUUUAAAAAAUUACACCAACUCACCAUGAUUUUAACAAACUUAAGAUGAUAUCAAUAAUUUCCUCAAAACAUUUUUGCAUAUGAAAAUUAUAAUCCACUUUCUACCGAUAAAUUUAAAAUAUGAAUUAUUCGAUUUUUAUCUAGUGAUAAAAAAUGACUUAUAUAUUUCUUUAACAAAAUAUAAUAAUGUAGAUACCUUUUUGUGAAAGUGGAUUGGGCUUGUCAUAAUCCGUUUUCACAUUGCUUCUAUCUCUUUAACAUGGUCCCCACUUUUGGAAAAAUCAUGGUUCUUGGAACUGAUCUUAUUUCUUUUGUCAUUCAUACCCCCUAGCUCUCUUGGCCUAAUCUCUUCACCACAUGGCGACAAAAAUCCCACAACCAUAAAAUGCCUUCCAUUCUCCCAAUCCAAAAAAUUUCAAUCCUCCUCUUUCUUUCCCUUUUCUAUACUUAACAACAAGUUUGGUUUUUUUUUUUUUUUUUUGUCUUUGUCUUCACACACCCUUCACCAAACCCCUCAAUAUUUUGCUAUACCAAAACAUGGGAACCCCACAGUCCAAUUUGCCACCAGGUUUUAGGUUCCACCCAACUGAUGCAGAGCUUAUACUUCACUACCUUAGGAAGAAAAUUGCCUCCAUUCCCUUGCCUGUUUCCAUCAUUGCUGAAGUUGAUAUUUACAAGUUGGAUCCAUGGGAAUUACCAGGUUUGUAUUCUAUAUAUCUUCUCUACUUUAUAAUAAAUAAUUAUAUAUAUACAUAUAUAUAUAUACCAUGUCACAUUCUUGAACUAUCAAAUCGCUGCUAAAAGUUUGAUAUGGUAAACUCAACAAAAAAAAAUUCAAAUUUUCUAAAAGCAAAUUUUAAAAUAAUUAUUAAUAUCACUUUAAUUAAUAAUUUCUUAUUCUCCAAUAUUUUUUUAUAAAAAUGAUACCAUGUAAAGUCGGAGUAAGUGAUGUGUAUAAUUUAAAUUUAAAUCUCAAAGUUAUUAUAAAUUAAUAAUGUAUGAUGUGGAAGCUUAAUUUAGUUUGGGUUUUUGUGGAUUUCUUUAUUUCUUUCUAUUAACAGCAAAGGCUUCAUUUGGUGAGAAAGAAUGGUACUUUUUCAGUCCAAGAGAUAGAAAGUACCCAAAUGGUGCAAGGCCAAACAGGGCAGCUGCUUCAGGGUAUUGGAAGGCUACUGGCACUGACAAGACCAUAGUGGCAUCAUUGCCAAGUGGAGGGAGAAGGUCACAUGACAACAUUAUUGGUGUCAAAAAAGCUCUUGUUUUCUACAAAGGAAAACCCCCAAAGGGUGUUAAGACUAAUUGGAUCAUGCAUGAAUAUCGCCUUGUAGAUAACAACAAACCUAUUAAGCUCAAAGAUUCCUCCAUGAGGGUGAGUGUCCCAAACAACAAAACAUGUUUGAUACAAUCAAAUUUUUACAUUUGUUGUCAUCAUUAAUAUUGUAAAAAAUUACAGUCAAAUACAACUAAUGUAACCACAAUCACAAUAAUGUUGCAAUCUAGCAGAGAAGUCAAAAAAAUAAAUGUUGAUGUCGUCAUUAGAUUGUAGUCGCAAAUUUCUUUAUUUUUAAAAGUCUAUUACAAAUUAUGUUAAUUAAAUUAAUGUAAUUAUUGUGAUUGUGCAGUUGGAUGAUUGGGUACUAUGCCGAAUUUACAAGAAAUCAAAAUGUGCACUAUCUUUAACAGAGGCAGAAACAAUGGUAGGUGAUGUAGAUCAAGCAAAAGAGACCCAAAUAAAGGACACCCUUUUCCAAAUCACAAAAAAUUCAACCUCUCCUAAUCAAAACACACUUAUGUCUCAAAAAUCAAUGUCAUUCUCCAACCUUUUAGAUGCUAUGGACUAUUCCAUGUUAAGCAGCUUCUUAUCUGAAAACCAUUCUAACCCAUCAGGAAUUGGAUCAAGUACAAGUUUCAACACUGAAAAUUUUAAUCAACCAUCCUCACAAAUCAACACCAACAACAAUUACAUGUUUCAGAAGAACACUUCAAAGCAACAACUUUCAAACAUAGAUGAAGACACUUUAUUAUACCAAUCAAAGAAAUACUUGAAUUCCUCUUGCAAUUUCCCUAACAUUAAUUCCCAAUACGAGAAUUACCUCAUGAAGCAAUCUCUAUUGAAUCAACAAUUGAUUCUAGGACCUCACCUCCAAUUUCAAGGCUAAUCCAAAAACACCACAAAAAUUAAGUGGUGCCCAAAAAAUAAUAAACUUUAGAUAAUAGAAACAGUUAAUUAAUUAGUAAAAUUUCUAGAAGUUGGACCCACAAAAGAACAAAUGUCAUAAUUAAUUAAGGAUUACUAGUAGUAGUACAUAAAGUAUAGUGUUUAUUUUUUUUCAUUUUAAUUUGUACUAGGAAUUGAAGGAGGGGUUAGGAAGUGUUUGGUAGGGAAUCAAAAUAAAGAUUCCAGCUCAAUAAUAAAUUGUGAAAAGAAAAUAUCAAAAUUUUAUGACCAAUCAGAAGCAGUCGUGUACAAAAUGUUAAUUUGUUCGUGUGUUGUUGGGGUUGGCAAGUUAGCUUUUUAAUAUAUACUCUGCAGAUAAGUAUUGUACUGAUUGUGAUGAUAUUUUUCAUUCUUUUUUCGGAAAAAGCUAGCUUUAAAUUUUUCUUUUUUAUUUGGAUUUGUAUUGCAACUAUUCGCUACUUCACUAUGUUUAACACUGCACCUUUAUCUUUAUUGUUCUUGCCGUUUAAAUUCACAUGCUUUGAACCAUUACACACACCAUUAUUGAAGCAAAUAUAAAUUGAACCUACAAAUUAAUCAAUCAAUUGAAUAUCCAAUUAAAUAUAUAACUUAUAUAAAAAAUACACAUAAACUACAGAUUAUAUUUAUACCAAUAGGGCAAGCUAUUAUAUGUAUGUAUCUUAGGUUUCGUUUACUUUAUGCAAAAUAUUAUAUGUUUUCAUUUUUAAAAAGUGUGUAUAUUAUCUAUUGAAGUGAAUUAUUAUUAUUUUUAAAUCUAAAAUAUAAUAAGAUAAACUAUUUAGAUCACAAAAAGUGACCCAAAUAGAAAAACAACAUACAAAGGUCAAUCGUCAAGAGUGUUCAACACAUAUUCUACAACGUCAACUUCUUCAAACACUACAAGUUAACUACACUACAAUCAACCAUCUUGAAGCAUUUUACUUUUAUUGAAUAAGUAAGAGAAAAAUGAGCAUGAUAAUUAAUCUAGAUAGGAACGCUACAUAAACAUAAAACCACCGCAAAACUACCACCAUACUUUUCUAAGAAAUAGACAAUGUACAAAUAAAUAUUGUAACAAUUCUACGCUACAGCUACUAACACACAUUUGCGACACAUCAGACAACACAUUAUGCUGAAUCAAAUUAGACUUUGAACAUCUACUUUAAAAUUAUUGUUAAUCAGAUAAGAUAAAAUAUUAAUUAAUAAAAAUGCAUUUUUGAAAAUAAUAAAAAACAAAUUUUUGAUAAUUUUAUUAUUUCUAAAAAUAUAAAUAAUUAUUCAAUUUAAAAAUCAUAAAUAAAUAUAUAUAUAUAUAUUACUAAAUAAAAAUAACACAAAUUUUUAAAAAUAAAAAUAGAAGAACUCUUAUUUAUUUAUUCGUACGAUUAUUUUCACUAUUUUAUCUUGUAAGCCAAAGUCCAUGACUUAAUUGUGCUACAUUUUGAGUGUAUAAUAAUGCGCAGCCAAGUCCAACUUCGCUACAUAUCACAUGCCUUGUGAUUGCACACACGCAUGCAAAAGUUUUAUACAAUAGUAUAAUUUGUAUAUAUAGUUAAUGUUUAAAAUAAUUUACAUAUAAUAAUGAAUUACUUUAUAAAUAAUUAUAAUAAAAGUUAAUAAUAUCAUUCAAUUUUAUAAAAAAUAAUAGUAAAAAUUAAAUAUUAUUAAUUAUUUAAUAAUUGUAAUUAAUUGAUAAAAUAAAAAUUAUAUAUAUAUAUGGACAAAUUGAAAAGUGGAUCAUUUUAUUAUUUCAACCACUUUUUUUACUAGCUACUAUUUAACUAGCUUAUACGAUGAGAAAAUUGUCUAGUUUAAUUGUAAUAGGAUAACACUAUGCAUUCGAUUGGAAUCGCAAAAUUAAUAAUGGUUUCACCGACUUUUUUCAACAAUGAUAUAAUUUUCUAUAGGCUCUAAUAUAUGUUGCACUAUUAAGUUUUGCGUUUUUAUUUUAUUUUUGUUUUUAUAACUUUUUUAAAUUUAAUCAUAAAAGUUUAAUUUUAUUUUAAAAUUAUCUUCUUAGUGACUAUUAAAAAAGCUGACAUGACAAAUAAAUAAGGGGUAUAAAAAAAAUGUGUAAGUAUAUAUGGAUCAACCAUAUAUAUUUUUUUUUGGAAGUUCAUAAUUUUUCUUUUAGUUUUUAAUCCAUUUUGUCAUGUCAAUUUUUUAAAACAGUCACUAGAAACUAUUUAAAAAAUAAAUAAAUUUAUAUGAUUAAAUUAAAAAAAAUAACCAAGACAAUUUUUUUUUUUUUAAAAAAAAACACUAACUUAUAAAAAUCAAAUAAUAUUCCACGAGGGUAAUCCUUAUCUCUAACUCCUUCUCACAUGCUCUUUGAUUAAUUAUUGGUUGUUAGUGUUAAGUGUGUUACUUGUUUUUAUGUAAGAUUUUAGUUAAAAAUUGUGUUUUUUUUUUUAAUAAAAGUUGCAAGAAGCAUUGAUUGCUUUUUUUCAUAAAAAUGUUUAAAAUUAAAUUAAAACUCGUCAUUUUUUUCUUAAUGAAAGAACAGUUUUAAAAAGAAAAUGCUCAAUAUUGUUAACAUAUUUAAUUUGAAAACCAUUUUUCUAAAUUCUGGUGCAUCUAGUGAAUAAGUGGAUUGUGACUCUUUAGUUAACCGUAUGUACAUUGAUUGAAUAAGGGCUAAGAGCACAAUGAGAUUGCUUGCUGUGGUCAUCAAACUUCAAUUAUUUCAAUCCACUUUAUCUCUUAAACAGAGACUUUCAAUCCAAUUGCACAUGACCUUAAAUUUUUUUAUAUAAAAAGUAUUAGAAAGAUAAUUUUUUUUAAGUAGUUAGAAGUUUAAUGUUAGUUUGAAAUUGUAUUAAAAUAUUAUUUAUAAUUUAAAUUUUUAAAUAUCUUGUAUUCAUUUGAUUAGAAAUCUAACUUUUAAUAUUAAUACAAGAUCUCCAGAAUAUUUGAAACAGUUAUGCUAUUCAUCGUCCUUUUCUCUUAGUUCUACGCAAAAGGCAUGCAAACUUUCGUUAAUAAUCCAAAAAUCUAUAAUUAUUCUCAUUGCAAGGAAGAAAUAAUAAACAAAAGGCGAAAAGUUAGAACCUACAACAAAAAAACGAAAAAUAAGAUGUUUUUUUUCACAAUACACGCUCAAAGUAGUUGCCAACGUAAGCUAAAUAACAAACAUGAAUAACUUAACAAUCAUGAUGUAUGAGAAUACUAGUAGAUGUGGUUGAAGUCCUAUGUAUGGAAUGGCAAUUUAAUGUGGAGGGAUGGUUUACAAAUGUUAGGAAUCUUGAUUGGGGUGAUGGAAAGAGUUUUUAUGGUACAUUUAUUAAUCAAAGGAUUUUGGUAUAUUCUUUUUAUAAAUUAAUUAAUUAAUGACCAUUUUUAUUAAUAAAAAAACUAUUUAAUAACUUUUAGGUUUUAGAAAGUAUUAUUUCGCUGUUUAUAAAUAUUAUAUUAAUUUUUUACAUUUUAUCGUAAAAACAUUCAAUAUUUUCUAUUAUUCAAUUUUAAACUGAAAAUCAAUUUAAUUCAAUUUUUUUAAACUAAAAAUUAAUUCAAUUCAAUUUUUAAAUAGUUCUAAUUAAAAUUCAAAAUAGAACUUUGUCUAUCCCUAGUUGUAUAUGCAUUAUAUAGGUUUAAUUGUGAUCCAUGCAUGCUCCCUUGAUCCCUAGUUGUAUAUGCAUUAUAUAGGUUUAAUUGUGAUCCAUGCAUGCUCCCUUAAUUUACUUCACCUGCAUAUACUAUUUUCAACACCAAACACAAGGAGGAAAGACACAAGACGGUGACAACAUGUGCUCUUGCCUCUUGGUGAUGCAUAUAUGAUCACAUCGGUGUUUAGAUCGGUGAAGUUUGCCGUUCGUACGAUUAAUAGGAAAUUUAAUCCAUACACUUUAGCAUUGAAAACUGUUUAUUAUCACGACAAAAAAUAUUAACAAAACAUAAAUAAUUAUGUGUUAUUAUUUAAUUUGACUGUUUCAAUUUACUAUUUGGUAUAUAGAUAGCUUAGAAUUUUUAUUUAAAUAUCAUUUUUAUUUUAUUUUAUACUAAAUUGCCACACCUUAAAAUAAAAAUACUAAAAUACUCUAGUAAAAUAAAUUAAACAGUAGAAAAAAAAUGCGGUUGAUUAGAUGUGCGUAAACAAAUAACGUGUUAUAUUAUUUUAAGAAUUUUAUGUUAUUUUAUAGAUUAAUUAAAUUAUUUUAAUAAUUGUCUCCUGUUUUAUAAAUAAAUUAACAACUUAAUUAUAUUUUGUUAACGACUUCCUCCUUUUUUGUUCGGAUCAUAUAAAUAAAAAUUAAUAAAAAUAAUGAAAAUGAUAAUAAAGUAAAUUAUAUUAAUUAAAUAAAAUUAAUUAAAUUGAACAAACAAUACAUUAAAUUAAAGAAAAAAAAUACCACCAAUUGAAAAUAAAACAUCAAAUUUUUAUAUUAAUAUUAAAAUAAUUAUUUUAAUUAUAAUUAUUUUUAUUUAUUAGAUCCAAAAAUAAAAGGAAGUUGUUAAUAAAAUUAAAUUAAAUGACUAAUUUAUCUGAAAAAUAAGAAAUAGUUGUUAUAAUAAUAUAAAUUUAUCUACAAAAUAGAAUCAAGUUGAAGAAAAAAUAUAUUAUAUUUUAAAUUAAUGAUAUUUCGGAUCGCAGAUUCGAGAAACAAUCUCCUGAAAAUUUUAAAAAAUAGAACAUAUUUAUAUAUUUUUUUCAAUGUAGAAGAAUAUGGUUACUUUUCUAAAAAAUAGAAAUAUAUUAAUAAUUGUCCGGCUUUUUUCAUUUUAGCUUUUGUAAUUUAUUUGUGAAAAAACUUAUAUACUAUAUAAUAUAGUAGUGCUGCUUCACCAUUACUCUUUAUUUAUAUUAGCCACCAAAUAAGUUAAAAAAAUUAUCCAACAGUUAUUAAUGUAUUUUUGAAUUAAAUAACUUUUUGACACAAAAUUGAUUCAAAUCAAACUUCAAACACAUAUUAAUCCAAAUUAUUUUAUUUUCCUAAAAUUAGAAAUUUUUUGGCGGCAACAAUUCUAUAAAUGGUAAAGGCAGCGAUUGUAGAUGAUGAUUAUUUAGUAACGGUGGAUUUUUCUUUCCUCUAAUUGACAUGUUAUAGUAAUUAAAUAAGAUAAAAUAUGAGAAAAAUUUAAUCCAAAUAAAAAAUUUGAAAUAAAAAAGUUACAAAAUAUAAUUGCAAAUUCUACAAAUCAUACGAUGGCGCACUAAAAAAAAAACAACUUAUAGGAAUUUGUAAUUAAUUCAUAUUUAAGAGAUUUGGAGUAUCUACAAAUAUUAUAUCACUAUUAAUUUUUAUUGAUAUAAUUAAAGUUUUAAUUUUAUUAUGUUUUAUUAAUUUAUGUAAUUUUUAUAUGUGUUAUUAACGUGUUUUUAAUUUUUCAAUUAUUACUAUUUUUAUUUUAAAAUAAAUAAAAUUCAUUUUUCUGGAAAAAGAAAAAAUUAUUCCACAAUUAAAACUGUUAGAUUUAAACUGAAAAACUCGUAUUAAUUGAUCUAUGUUCUAACUACUCAACAGAUCUUUUGUAAAAAAGAAUAUAUACAAGUGAUGUAUCAUUAAUUUAUGUGGACACACAAAGACUAUGAAAUUAAGAAAAUAUAGGAUAGACAUGUAUUAACAAAAGAACAAGAAAUAAAGAAAGUUACGUGAUAUAUUGGCAAUGUAAUAAAAAAAGAAAUAAAAAGAAAAUAAAAUUUUAAUUAUUUAUGUGAAAGUUGUUUUAAAAUAGAUUGUCUAAAGGAUAUUUUGUUUCGUUAAAGAAUAAUUUAUUUUAAAGAUCAACAAUGUGUAGUAGGUUGUAGAGAAGUUGAAAUACUCUAUCAUUUAUUUUAUUGGUGUGUCAUCUUUUUGGAUCUGUGUGAUACAAUAUUUUGAAUUAAUUUGGAUUAUUAGGUGUAUUUUUUAUGCAAUCAAUCAUGCUAACCAAUUUGAUAUCUUUUUUCAUGCGGUCGUAUAAUGUGUCAAAUAAUUAAUUUAGUUUUGUUUGUAUAGACGAUUUAAAAAUUAAAAAAACGAUUUUUCUUUAACAUAUUUUGAAUACAAAUUUUAUUAUUGACUAGAUUAAACUUUUUAUAUAAAGAUAUGUAAAAAAAAUUUAUUAUAAGUAUAAUUAAUGAUACUCUCACUCUUGAUGUAUAUAAGAUGUGCUUAAUUAUUUUAUUUGAAUAAUUUAGUUUGUAUUUUGAAUUUUUGUUUAAUUGUAUAAUAAAAAAUUGUAAUUUUUGUUUGAUUUUGUAUUUAAAAUGUUUUUAUAAUGUAUUUAUUUUUGAUUUAUUAAAAAGAUAAAUGAGUAUAGAAAAAUGAAGGUUUAGAUAGAGAGAAGGUUUAUCUAUACAAAGUUAAGAAAGUCCAAAUUAAUGGUGAUUGGUCCAGCCUAUAGUAUUUGAUUUAAUCGUCGACAUAUUUUAUAUAUAAAAAAAGAAAAAGAAAAAGAAAACUAAGCUUGAGCAGUAAGCAGAAGGAAAAGCAGGGUUUUAAUUUCUCCCUAGUCCAAUCCAGUAAGAAUCAAAAGAAAGAUCAGAAAAAAUGGAGUGGAAUGAUGGUCAUAAUCAUAAUAACUCUUCUAACGUAACCCACACUCACCACCACCACCGUAGAAACGAAGACGAAGAAUACCCUCCACCUGGAAACAACAACAACUUCUCUCCUUUCAACAACCACCACCAACAACCACCCAUCUACACCGACUCAUACCCACCGCCACAAGAAACACAAGUCUUCCACUCAUCUCACGUCUCAUCAGGACACGUGUCCCAUGACAACUACAAUCACUCACCCCCUCAUCAUCAACAACCUGCCUUCACUCCCAACUACGGAUACGCACCUCCACCCCCAUCCGCACCUCAUCACACCUCCCCUCCAUUCUCAAACACUUCCGUCCACCACGUUUCUCAUGAAAUCCACGAUCCUCAUUUUCCUACCACCGCUGUUCACCAUGUCGACCAUCAGGU